rnacentral:rRNA from 1 species
UACGAGGGGGGCAAGCGUUGUCCGGAAUCAUUGGGCGUAAAGAGCGUGUAGGCGGCCCGGUAAGUCCGCUGUGAAAGUCGGGGGCUCAACCCUCGAAAGCCGGUGGAUACUGUCGGGCUUGAGUGCGGAAGAGGCGAGUGGAAUUCCUGGUGUAGCGGUGAAAUGCGCAGAUAUCAGGAGGAACACCGAUUGCGAAGGCAGCUCGCUGGGACGUAACUGACGCUGAGACGCGAAAGCGUGGGGAGCAAACAGG